rnacentral:rRNA from 1 species
CUAAGCACUAAAAUCAUUCGAUUAAAACUUAAAGAGCAUGGCGGUCACAAAAAGGUUCAGGGGAACUUACCAAGUAAUAGAUAACCCACAAGAUACCCCCCUUAUUUUAAAGGUUUGUAUACCGCCGUCUUGGCAUCACUUAUGGUGAUGCCGCAAAGCUUUUGCAAAAAGACAGGUCAUGGUGCAGCUAAUAUUUAAGGUUUUUGGCGAGUUACAAUAAAACUUCCUUUUUUUAUGAAGAAUUUAAAAUUUUUCAUAGAAGUGGACUUGAAAGUAACAUUUUAAAAUAGAAAUAAAAUCUGAAUUUUAUUCUUUUGUGGUGC